rnacentral:rRNA from 1 species
UACAGGGGGGGCAAGCGUUUGUUCGGAAUUACUGGGCGUAAAGGGUCUGUAGGUGGCCAACUAAGUCAGACGUGAAAUCCCUCAGCUUAACUGGGGAACUGCGUCUGAUACUGGAUGGCUUGAGUGUGGGAGAGGAAUGCGGAAUUCCAGGUGUAGCGGUGAAAUGCGUAGAUAUCUGAAGGAACACCGGUGGCGAAGGCGGCAUCCUGGACCGGUAUUGACGCUGAGGCGCGAAAGCUAGGGGAGCAAACGGGG